UCGCGCACAAUCCGUUCAAAUGGUUUCAACAUGGAUGCGUUCGGGCGCAGUGAAUUUUUGUUCCUGCCGUCCGCCGGUCGGUGUAAGCCGAAGCUCUUAUUGGGCAUCCGUGUUGAGAUCGUUCUUUGAUUUGAAGUGAAUCGGAACAAUCUCACGUUUGGUCUCCUCGCGCUAACCCCGUAGCGUGUGGUUUUUAGCGGGCUCCAGGCCCGCUUUUUUUC
rnacentral:ncRNA from 1 species